rnacentral:lncRNA from 1 species
GACUUGAUCUAUAUAUAUAUCAAAAAGAUUACAUAGGAAAGUCAGGCAUUAUAAACAAUGAAACGUCACCCGAUGUCUUACAAAACAGUAUAUGAAAAACAGCUCAAAGAAUGAAUGGAGAGUAAGAUUUAUGGUUGUAAGGUAGAAAAGGCGUAAACAUUCUAGAUUUAAUUACCUCUUACUGGGAGCUUGAUUCACUUUUAAAAUCUAAUUUUCCACUUGAGUUGUGUAAAAUUAUGUGAUACUGAAAACCUCCUGUAUUAUAAAUACAAA